CAACUCCAGUAAAGACAACUGAACCAAGGGUAUGGUGGAGAAAGAGACACAUUGUGUAAGGAAGGCCAAGACCAAUCUGGAAUCAAUAAAGGCUCAUAGGAACUCCAAUCGUCCCAACUGUGAGAGGGCCUUGCUCCAGUGACUGUUGGAUAUUGGCAUACCAGGAUAGGUGUGGUUUAACUGUUGGGAAGGAGGUUGGAACAGUGCAAUGUUUCCUCUCUUGGAUUGCAGUGACCAGACAUGCUACUGUAACUCUCAUGGUCAUGUGCUGGAAUUAGCAGAUGUUCAACUAUUUGGCCAUCUCACUGACCUGUUGAUAU